AAGGACUGUCCUGGCCAAGAUCUUACUAAAUUGAAACAUAAAGCAUUCUCUCCAAUCCCUUGAAGUGAUCAAUUUUAUCUUGACUCAUGUACCAACUUGACAAGUAUUUGACUGUACCCAAAAUUCUUUCGAUCUCAAAUUAGAAAUUCAGAUAGUCUGGCAUCAAAGUAUAGUGAGUUGCUUACAACUCACCGUGGUGAUC
rnacentral:lncRNA from 1 species